GACCCUGCAUGAAGUCGGAAUUGCUAGUAAUCGCGGAUCAGCAUGCCGCGGUGAAUACGUUCCCGGGCCUUGUACACACCGCCCGUCACACCAUGGGAGCCGGUAAUACCCGAAGUCAGUAGUCCAACCACGUGAGGACGCUGCCGAAGGUAGGAUUGGCGACUGGGGUGAAGUCGUAACAAGGUAUC
rnacentral:rRNA from 1 species